AGACCAGGGCAUCUACAGCUGCAGAGGCCAGGGUGCUCUGAGACAAGGAUGAGAUGAAUCCUCACAGGCUUAGGGAAAGCAGACACUGAGGAGGAGGCCAGACACAGACAUCAUGAGAGGACUGUGCAGCAGCUCACUGGAGCAUCUCAGGCACCCAAGGAACUCGUGGAAACAACUGUGCAAGGCCCAGGUGGAGGAAUAGAGAACCUGCAGUUAUUCUGGAAGAGGGCAGGUGGCUUAAAAUGAAUUGUCAGCU
rnacentral:lncRNA from 1 species